GUCAAUUUAGUUUAAUUUAAAAUAUGGGUUUGUGGUACCUUAGAUGAAACUAAUUCAUUUGACU
rnacentral:tRNA from 1 species